GCGAGGGGAGGAUUAGGGGGAAAGUAAAGGGACGGAACGGCCGGGACGGGGAAGGAAAACCGCGGGUACGGCGCCGGUAAGGAAGGGAGGAAAGGAGGAAGGAAAGAAGGAAGGAAAGAAGGAAAGAAGGAAAGGCGUUCUGCGCGUUCCCGUUGAGAAGCGGCCGGCCGGACCCGCGGCGGAGCAGCGGAGGCCGUGAGGUGACCGCACAGCGCUGACGUUUCGGGAUGGCCGCUGCGUUUUCUGCACAACUGGAUUCCCUUGGGAAGAGCAUGGAAUUCUGAGGCUCCUGCCCAUUGAACAUUCUGCUGUGCUGCUUCUUUGAGAGGAGGAGGAGGAGGAGGGCUGGCCAGCAGGACCCCAGGAUCUGAUCUAUCAGUGGCAGCAGGUCACCAACCAGCAGCCCAGGCUGCCCAGAGCCACAUCCAGUCUGGAUGCAGCAUGAGCCUUCCUUUGCCCAUGAUGUUACCCAUGUCAGUGUUGCACCUGUUUUUCAGGUAACUUGUAUGUUGAACAGCACUGUUCCCUGUGGGACUGAUUAGUUCCCUCUGUUAAAAGAAUCAGACUCUCGUUGUGAUCCUUCAGCCUCUCUUAAAUCCAUUUCUGUCCAUAUGCAGCUCACUGACUUCCAGUCUACGUUUUUUUCCCUUUGCUGUUCUGCAAAGCAGUGGGUUUUUAUUUGGGGCUCAUAUUCCUGGAAAGACAUAACUUCAGUUGUCCAUUGAGAUUUUCAUGUGAAUGCAGACUCACUGUCCAGGCCUGCUGCUCUGUGCUUAGCUUGCUGGGAGCUCUAAAUACAGAGAUAAUUCCAGUAAUGCUUUGAUCUGAUCCUGUUGGGUUGGUGCCACAUGGGAAGGAAGUCUGACCUCGUGCCAUCUGAACAGAUGAGAGCCCUCAUUUUGUUCUUUAUUAUGAUUCCUGUUGAGCUCUGUAAGGAAUCACACUGCAGUGUAGCUGUGUGUGCCCUGCCUGCGCUGGGUUGGUGGGGUGCUGCAGAGCUGUGCAGCAAAGCUGGUGCUGGGAGAAGCUUUAGUUGGCUGAGCUGUAGCAAACUGCUGCUGAUCCAAUUGAUGGAGAGAUUCAGGGAUAAAUAUGUUGGGCAGUAGUUCUGAAUGCUUCACGUUCCCUGCUUGAGUGGAUGAACUGAAUUGCCACUGCAUUUGGUGGAGUCUUAGAUAGUGUGUGGUCAGGUAGGUUGGAAAAAGUCUUUUGGGAAAGGCUUUCUGGCUCUCAUUUGUUGGAAUUCUGCACAUUCCUGGUCUUUCCCAAAUCUCCUGGCAGUUCUUAGUUAGCUUGUUAUAACUGUGGUUUCUGUAUCAUUGAAUUGCUGAAUUCCUGACUACAGCAAAGCCAUGAAAAGCCAAUCCCUGCAGUCUGAUGGACCAA